rnacentral:lncRNA from 1 species
UUCUUUUGUAAAUUGCCCAGUCUUGGGUAUGUCUUUAUCAGCAGCAUGAAAAUGGACUAAUCCAGAAGGCAUGGAUAUGCAAACUUUCACUUUUGUUCUUUACUUGAGUGUCAGGAAAAUAUGAUGUUGUGGAUGGAUAGAAGACAAGAGAGAUGAAGAUUUGUGUCACCAUAGUAAAAAUUCUAGAAGGCUAUGGUGUCUCAUAUUGGUCUCAGAAUUCUAAAUCAAAUAAAGCACUAAAACAAAUGUAUUAAACACUCAGAAACCUAAAUUUUAGCUGCUUCCUAAGAUUGUGAACAGUGUUUUCUCAUGAUCUUCCUGAAAGCAAUUGACAAUGCGUUACAUUCAACUUGAAGAAAUAAGUAUUUUCUUCCCUUAAAAAAUUUACCAAUUUAAUUAUCAUCCAAGGUCUCGAACUCAUGAACUCAAGCCAUCUGCUCGCCUCAGCCUCCCAAAGUGCUGGGAUUACAGGUGUGAGCCACUGUGCCUGGCCUAUAGCAUGACUUUUAUACCUCUCAGAGUCCUCUCAUAGAGUUUAUCAAGCAUAGUAGGACUACAGCAGCUACCUAGGUUUGACGGGCUGAGGUUUGAGUUAGCCAUAGUCAACUGUCAUCUGAAAAUAGUGACACAUUAAAGAACAACAUGUAAUGUGCAUCCAUUCUGGAGUUGAUCAAUGUGAGGAUAAGGGCAGAUGCUGCCACAGAGACUGUCAUUCCCACAGACAUUUAAAUAUAUUAGCACUUGGGGGCCAGGUGUGGUGGCUCACGCCUGUAAU